AAUUUGGUUUUAGUUAAAAAUUAGCUUUUUCUUUUAGAAAUACAUGAUAGUUUUAGCGAAGCUGUGAAGAAUGGAAAUAAAUUUUAUUGUAUUAAUAAUUAUAUAUAAUUUAUUUUUAUAAUUUUAAAGAUUUUGAUAAUGUUACUUACAACUUCAGUAUUGAAUAUUUAUAAUAUAAAAGAAAUUUGGAUUUAGAAUUAGAAAAUAAGACUAGUGAAUUUUGUGCCAGCAACUGCGGUUAUACAAUAAAGUUUAAGUUAAUUGAUUUGGUAAAAUUGUAGUUAUUAGUUUUUUUGAGUUAAAUUAUAUUAGAUAAUGAGGUAAAAUUUAUAUUAUAUUAUAAACUUUUUUUAGCUUAUUUAAGAAUCUACAAAAUUUUUUAUUAAAACUAGGAUUAGAUACCCUACUAUUAAAAAUAUAACAUAUUAGACCAGAGUAUUACGAGUAAAUUACGAGAUAAUUACUUCUUAAAAUUCAAAAGACUUGGCGGUACUUUAUAUCUGUCUAGGGGAGCCUGGGCUGUAAUUCGAUAAUCCGCGUUAUACCUUUCUUUCUUUAAUUAUGUUGAACUUGUAUACUGCCGUCUUUAGUUAAUCCUUAAAGGUAAAAAAAUUAACUAAUAAAUUAUUUAAAUUAUUAUGACAGGUCAUAGUACAGUUUAUGAGAAAGUUUGUUACGGGUUAAAAUUUUUAUUAAAUAUGAUAAUAUAAUGAAAUAUUAUAUUAGAUAUAAACUUAGAAGUAAAUUUAAUUUAUGAAUAUUAAUUUGAAUUAGUUCAAAAGUAAGCACAUAUCGCCCGUCGCUCUCGUUAAAUAAUGAGAUAAGUCGUAACAUAGUAGGAGUAGCGGAAGCUGCUCCU
rnacentral:ncRNA from 1 species